GCGCUCGUAGCUCAGCUGGAUAGAGUACCUGGCUACGAACCAGGCGGUCAGAGGUUCGAAUCCUCUCCGAACCA
rnacentral:tRNA from 1 species